AUGGAAAAAUGGAAUGCAUUACUGCCCAGCCCUUUGCCAAUGGUGCUCAAUGAGAUCCUCCUGAAGCUGAAAGUGAGUGUUUGCAUUUUCAAUCUCCUUGUAGGUCUGAAGAAAAGCUCUAAUGCGGUUAGGGUCUCUAGCCGGAAUGUCGUAUACAAUUACCCGCAUAGCUGCCGAGAUUUUUUGAUAUGCAGUAAAUCCCUUCAAGCCCGCGGCAUUUAUUCUUUGAGUAAAAUACCGACAAUUGGCCUCGCAAGCUUGAACAAUUUUUCACAAAGAGGGAUCGGCGCAUUCAGUACCUUCUCUGGAAGAGGUGUGGCGAAUAUGUUGUGUUAG
rnacentral:rRNA from 1 species